rnacentral:lncRNA from 1 species
GACCAUAUUUUAAAAUAAUUUCAACUGUGAACUUCGAAAAAUCAAAAUACUUUGAUUCAACAAUUAAUGCAAAUAGAAGUAAAAGAAAAACUAUCUCGAAAAAAGGUUAAUGCAGCUUAUUGAGUGAUAGAAGCUUUACAAACUUAUUAUUUAAUGUAACCCCAUAGAACAAUGUCAACUUGUUUGAUCAGAAAAUCGCAAAUGACACUCAUCGACAAUAAUGCAUCUUUAUUGAUGUUGUAGGUGAUAUUUCAGACUAAAAACUUAGAUAUUAGUGUUUUAAUGAGAUAAUAGUCAU